GUCGACCACCGCAGGUGCUUCUCGCGAUAUGAGCCGUGCCCCAACCCGCAAUUCCCAAUCCUCUUCUCCCCAAUUUUAAAAAAAAUCGCAUCUUCCUUGUGCGGGCAGCCGGAGGAGGGCUGCUGAUGGUCGUCGCCGUCGGCAGGAUGCACUGGUAGCACGAGGCAGUUGUUUCCCCUGCCCAUUGUCCUCAUCUGAGUCAGCGACAGGCCAUGGGACGAAGAUCUGAUGCACAUCCAUGAUAUCUCUUGCCGAUUCGACUAUCUUCAGGUGCUCCGGCUGCUGUGAAAAACGAUAUGCGGUCUCUGUAUAGAGAGCAGUGCCUUUGCCGCCUUCCUCACGGUCUCCCUUGAUGUCCUAGACGCGGUGAGAUAUCAAGUUCUCCCUGAAAUCUUAGACUGAACAAGUACUUUGCGCUAGUGGAUUUGUUUUGUUGAUCUUGAGCAUGAAUUGGUUCACUAGCGUACGAGCUUCCGUUUGUACUUUCAGAUUUAUUGCAUGGAUUUGUUCUAGGUUAAAUGCAAGAGU